ensembl:lncRNA
CAGUAUUGUCCAUGGGAGCAGGUAGCAGCAGCGAAGGCAGGGUGGCUCAGUGAUAAAGAAUCUGCCAGUUAAUGGCAGGAGAUGCAGAUGCUGGUUUGAUCUCAGAGUCAGGAAGAUCUCCCUGAGAAGGAAGUGGCAACCCAACUCCAGUAUUCUUGCCUGGGAAGUUCCAUGGACAGAGGAGCCUGGUGGUCCUCAAGAUUAGUUCUCAUCAGAGUGAACAGACCUCACAUGAGAACAUGGCACCUUUUCCAUGUGCUCUCUUUGCUCUUCUACAAAUGAAGAGGCUUGGAAAGAAUGAGAAGAAGUGUGGUUACAUUUUAAAGUUAUAAGCCAGAGCUACCACUGAAUGGUAAUCAUGAUCUCAAGCUGCUGUUUUUUGGAAUUGUAAUCUCUUUAAGCAAUGAUCCAAUGUUACAUGAAGAAAAGCUGCUGGAGUGAGGGUUGGGAACAGAUGCUGCUGCAGAUCUGAACACAAGCCAAGGACUGUUUACACUCCUUCCCUGUCCCCUCCCAUCUCAUCAGGAGCAAGACCCUUCUUUUCCAGUUGUUGUUUUAGCCUAAAAGUAUGUGCUGUGGAGUUGCACUUAGCCUAGGACAUGGCCUGUAGUAUGGAUAGAAGGAUGAGCUCCAUAAAAAUGAUAAGAUCUCCUGAAAUUAUACACUGGUGGAGAAGAUGGAAGUGUUUUUCAUGAAGACAGGAAAUAUCUUCACUACUACUUGAUGAGCGAGAUGGAAUUAUCCUAAAAGAGCAGGUCCAUGGGGUGAGGAGAAAAGAUAUGUGGGCUGGAUUGUUAAUGAAAUGAUUAAACAAUAAUGCUCUCUGUGGCCACACCCUACUAUUUUACACAAUGGGGGAAAAAACAACUUGGCAAAAUAAAAUCAAUGUUGGCUUCUUUGAAAUGUGCAACCAUUUCACUGUUACCCGUGUGCAAGUCCCAGUGCCAAGAAACCCAAAGAUACUACAGGUAGUCCGCGUUUUGUAGGGUUCCAAUAUAUGUGAAUUUCAGUCACCGCAAUUGAGUUUAGUUAAAUAAAACCAGUCCCCUCUAGCAACAUGGUUCAGAUUUCAGUCACCCUGGUAUCUGAACUGUGGGUAGCUGCAUGAAGUACAAACUGUGCUGCUAGCUCAUCAGUGCACAUAUUUAGGGAGCUCAUCACCUCCUCAAUAUGCACCUCACCAUCAC